GAUGAAGAACGUAGCGAAAUGCGAUAAGUAAUGCGAAUUGCAGAAUUCAGUGAGUCAUCGAAUCUUUGAACGCACAUUGCGCCCGCCAGUAUUCUGGCGGGCAUGCCUGUUCGAGCGUCAUUUCAACCAUCAAGCCCCCGGCUUGUGUUGGGGACCUGCGGCUGCCGCAGGCCCUGAAAUGCAGUGGCGGGCUCGCUGUCACUCCGAGCGUAGUAGUUACAUCUCGCUCUGGGCGUGCUGCGGGUUCCGGCCGUUAAAAGCCUUAUUUACCCAAGGUUGACCUCGGAUCAGGUAGGAAGACCCGCUGAACUUAAGCAUAUCAAUAAGCGGAGGA
rnacentral:misc_RNA from 1 species